CUGGCAGCGCCGGGUCUGUGGGGGCGGGGGGUCCGGUUGGUGCCCUGCGUCCAGCUCAGAAGCAGCCUGCCCAGGAGUGGCCACGCCCCCGGGGGGACUCGGAUGUGUCUGCUCCUGGUGAUGAUCAUCACUGUCGGUGCAGCCUUCGCUCUAACACAGCCCAAGCGCCCGUCGAACACUGAGUGACCCCGAACCCGUGGGCGGGGCCGGCGGCCAAGGCUCCCAGCGCAGCGUCCAGCCUGACCCAUUGGCUCCUCUCGCUGCCCACCUACUAAGGCCACACGCUGCCCCGGGCCCCGGGGUGACAGCCAGCGAAAGUCAACAGAGGCUCCGUGAGGCUGAGCUCUGGCGGGAGAGACACCGCAUUGUGUGUCGUCUCGGACCAGAGUCGGCGCCCGGAGGAAACGAUUUCUGUCUUCGCUGACCUCUGCUGCGUGUGCUGGUCACCUCUCUGUUUAAUUGCUUUCACUUUAAUUAUUUGUGGUUGGAAAGGACCUCGGCUUUACCUCCGCGAUGUCAGGGCACCUGUGUGCGCAGAUGUUUCCGCUCAGCUCUGAAGUUUAGCGGAGCCGCACCCAAGAGCAGCCUCAGGGCCUCUCCUCCCUCCUCUAAGCCCUUGACUCCGAAAACACGGCCCAUCAUCUGAGCAGACGACUGAGUUCCCAGAGUCGACGACUCAUCACACACAGAUUUCAGCGUCCCCGGGUCUGAAUGCAGCCACGAGUUUCCAAAACCAUUUAGGAAAGAAAACAACCAAGUCUGAGGGUCUGUCUUUGUUCCCAAAUAUUGUCUUUAGAGCAAAUUAUAUUCUGGCGGCAUGGGCACAACAUGUAUUUAAGUUGUGAUUUUUUUUCAUUUACAGAAAAAUGUCCUGGUUCCUAGGGGACUCUGGGUAGGCAGAGCCUCGUCAUUAACUAAACUCUGGAGCCCGUGGCCUUGAAGUGGCUCUUGGCUGUGGUUUGAGUCCUAGGAUUGGAGCAACUGCUGUCAGUUGUGGAACCGGAACGUGUACGGAUGCGUGUGAGUGUGUGUGAGAGAGUAUGUUUGUGUGUGUGUGUGUGUGUGUGUAUGACUGUGUGUAUA